UGAAUGAAUGUGUGCUCAGGUGUUCACGCACAAUCAGUCAGUUACUGUGUGCUUCCUCAUAUAUGUUAAAGUGUGUGUGUGUGUGUGUGUGUGUGUGUGUUCAGUUGGGUUACAUAAAGGUUAGGGGUGUUGCACUCGACAGCUGUGCUCUGUUGUGGCAGGUGUGUCGAGGCUGUAUAUGUAUGAGUACAACACGCCCCUGCCUGCAACAGGACGUGGGCCUGUUUGGUGUGUGUGUUCACUGUGUGUGUUCGGUGUGUGUGUGUGUUGGAUGCAUGGGGAACUGUCAGCUGUUGUGCAGCUGUUGUUUGUGUGUGUUAGCCACUGGGUUACAGUGAGCACUCUUUCUCUCUUUCGCACACGUUUCCUUCUCCGCUCUUAUUAAAGAAUAUAUUUAUUUUAUUCGUCUAAUGUUUGUCGGGGGACAAUUAUGUAGCAUUCAAACCACCACCGCAGCAUUUCAGGGUCAGCUUAUUUCCCAUGACCGACCCCAGACGGCCUUUAAAAUGCAAUAAAAAUGGACAUAAAGAACGAAGAGACAGUACGGAAUAAAAAAGGGAACGAUAAAAUCUACAAACUAUAAAACAAUAAAACAGCAAAACAGGAAGCGUGAGAUUAAACAUGUCGGCAUGAUUGAGCCCUCUUUUAAACUGCAGAGGUCUGAUAUUUCACCUUUUGAUCCUCAUAGACAGAAAAACGCUGUACAGGUGCAGAGAAUACCAGAAUAUGUUUAUGUCUGAUAAAUGUUGGUACUAGAGGUGUUUGCACUAACAACUUUGGAACAUUUAUCUCAUGGACACAGAAGCUCCACAGCUCGAGCGUCCAGAGGAGAUUUAAUCGAAAAAAAAAUACUUUAAUUUAAAAAAAGGUGUUUGCAGUCAUAUAAAAAACAAACAUUAGUUAAUUUUCCAUAUUUUACGUUUGAAGGUCAUAACUGUAUAUGUCGACGAUGAAGGAGUUUAAGCUUGUAUUAACACAGGAAUCUAAACGGACUGUAAAAGCAGAGGAUUAUCAGGGACUGCACAGGUAUUCUUCAUGCUCAGGUGAAACACUUUAUAGUGUCUUGUUUUUGCAUGUCCUGUCGCAGAUUCAUGGUGGACGAUAUGUUUCACUGAUAAAACUUGUGAAAACCUGUGCAAAUAGGACAAGAUUAAGCACUCUUCUUUGUCCAUAAGGGUUGCAGAAAUUGUCUGAGUAACUUAAAGCCUAUCGACCUGCUAUGUAUAGAUGACCUCAUAUACAGCUGAGAAAGAAAUUAAAGAGUGUUUAAGAGGAUAUUUAAGCUGAGGGGACAAAGUGGAGAUCAAGAGUGCAUCAAAUGCUGCAUUUCUUCAUGGAAAUACAAUCAGACGGAGAUGCUGAAGCAGAAGAACUACCUCGUUUGAAGUGCAAAAUGAUUAAUAUAAUGAUUAUUACUUCAAGGAAAUGAUAAAGAAAUGAUCCUAAAUGUUCUUCCUUGAGCUCUGUCACCCCGCUGUAGACCGUAAUGGACUGGCCCGAGGUCUUGCUACAAACAAGCAGCUGCUGGAAGAGAGUAGGUGAGUUGUGUUUAGUCUCUUUCCUAAAGAAAUCAGGCAAAGCUUAAAAGAUGUUUGGUAUCUAGUACUAUGGCUAAGACCCUAUAUGUCCUGUUGAUGAAGUUAGGUGCUGUUCUGAGCAUUAUUUGUGGCUAUAGAGUGGUGUUUUGGUUGAGGUUUGUUUAUGCCCCCUCAGACCGCUGUGUAUUGCUAUCCUGCGGUCGUUACUAAAGUUGGUAUAACUAGAGAAGCAAGUGGUCGGCAACAUUCAUCUCUGGAGGGGGUGUCUAACUCGGUGUUACAUUGUGUUUGACCCUAAAUUAAUUUUACACCAGUAUAUCCCUUUCAAGUUUAAGUUUUUUAAUGUCUCUGUCUCGAUUUAUUAAAGCACAUAAUCACUGAAUGACUCCUUAUAUAUCCUGAAUAUCACAGACUGAUGAUGUUCAGCCGCUGAGGAGUACUGCAGGGUGGAGUUUUUUCCACUCCAGCUCAGGCCUUUGAUGGAUAUUAUUGACAAAGUCCCAAUACAUGUUCACAGCUUAUGGCUCACAUAAACUCCCUGUCAGUUCAGUGCUGACGUGGCAGUUUUAAGUAUUAUAGUCUGCGGGUCGUACAGCAUGUGUGGCUGUUAGUGCUGCAGGUCUAAGUACACAGAGCUGGCGGUAACAGUGACAGGAUCAUAUACAACACAAUGCACACAGAGCGGCUGUUCAUCACGGAGGCUGAAUGCUAACCUUCAUCUGAUAAGGCCUUUGAAAUCUGUGCCAAAACUCAGAUCCAGGAGAGACACACACA